rnacentral:lncRNA from 1 species
UCCUAAAGCUUAUGAAUAUUCAAUAUUUCUGAUUGUUGAAUUGUGACUGAAGUUGUAUGUUUGUUGGUUUAAGGAAUUGGUUUUUCUGCAGAUAUCUUGGCUCGAUGUCUGCUUUUUGUGUAUUUGGUGGUGUUGUUGUGCAUGUAUUUGGGUUCUUUUGCCCUGUGGUCGUGGUUGUUUUUGUAGGUAUGGAUGUGUCCUGGCUGUAGUGGACAUGGGAGGUAGGGAUUGCAUUGGUGUGUGGAUAGUGUGCUGUAUGUUGUGUGCAGUUGUGUUGUGUCUGGUUUUAAGUGGUGAGGCAAGACAGGGUGUCGGAGUUUAGCAAUGUCAGUUUGUUGUGGUGAGGUUGGAUGGGUUUCUGUAAGAAAUGUGUGGUUGGUAACUGGUGGUUGAGCCGUGGUAUUGAAUGGGGGCGUUUUAUUGUUAGUAUAGCUGGCUGUUAUUACAGUUUGUCAAGUAGUUAUAGCCCUUCUUGUUACUUAGCCGUUGGCCUCCCCUUGGCCUUGGAGCUUUGAGGACCUGGGCUGAGUGGGUUGCUAGGAGACCAAGUGGGAGGAGCUUAGCCUUCUAACUGGCAGCAAUUGGAUAAAACAAUUAUUCCUCUCCCUCUAAUUAGGACUUUAUUUUUCUUUUCUUUUUGUUGUCGGAACCUAGAGGCAAGGAGGGUGGGUUGUGCUGCCAAGUUUUGUGGUUCUGGGAUGUGUCGUUUUGUUGCUUAUUUCACAGCCCCCAGUUUUUUACUCUUUUAUAUACAUAUAGAGAUGUACAUGCUUCUAUGAGACUGUAUCCCACUUAUGCUGGUCUAUGACUGUAAUAGUUUGAUUUGGGGUUACUCUGGCGGUUCAGUCAAACUCUGGAACAUCCCCCAACCCUUCCGAACCCAGGGCUCAGCCAGGUGAACCUAGUUUACCCUACAAUAAAUGGUUAUUAAGCCCAUGUAGAUGAUGCCUGGUUUAUAUCUAACAACAGGAACAAAAUGCUCCUAUUGAGAGCCAAUGGGUGUACU